rnacentral:rRNA from 1 species
UACGUAGGGCGCAAGCGUUAUCCGGAAUUACUGGGCGUAAAGCGUGCGCAGGCGGUUAUGUAAGACAGAUGUGAAAUGCCCGGGCUUAACCUGGGAACUGCAUUUGUGACUGCAUGGCUAGAGUUUGGCAGAGGGGGGUAGAAUUCCACGUGUAGCAGUGAAAUGCGUAGAUAUGUGGAGGAACACCGAUGGCGAAGGCAGCCCCCUGGGUCAAGACUGACGCUCAUGCACGAAAGCGUGGGGAGCAAACAGG